UUCAAGAAACGAACAAUUCGUAUGUAUCAACAUUUCACGUGUGCACUGGAUUCAAGUGACUCAGGGUGGUAACGAGUGGCGACUUUUAUGAACAUUAUUAACUCUGGGUUUCACGAAGAUGAGAGAAUUUUUGACCAGCAAAACUGCCGUUACGAUUCGACAGUUCAUCGCGCGUUUCGACUGUUUGAGUACCAGUGUCCGUACCGAGAUAAGACCACAGUAGUGGCCCACUCGGCCUGUCAUUCUACAGACAGCCACCGAAGGCAAAACGGGGUCUUCAAAAUAUUAGUUGAUCUGGUCACAACAAAACCCAAAGGAAACUAUGUCCCGCCUGCUUCAACGACCAGCAAUUAAUUUUGUAUUUAAGGGUUUAGUAUGAUUCUCAGUGUAAACAGUGAUUCUUAACUUACACAGCAUUUACGAGUUGAUCUGUUUUUGGUGAAGAGUAGUGUUUUCUAUGCAGUACGGACAGGAUUAAUAAAUAUUUUUACACGAACUUAGGUUUAAAAGGUUAAACGUGCUGCUCCGUAAAUAGUACCCUCACGUGUUCUCUAUUAAUAAUACACCGAUAAUAUAAAAUGGCGGACUCAUAAUUCCAUAAGCAUGGCUCUCUAACGUAAAAAAAUUACAACCGCAAGGACUACAAGUUUUUCAUACCAAACUACAAUUUACCAAAACCAGUACUUCACCUUCACCUCAAGUUCGUUUCUAAAUUUACAAGUUUAUUUGUAUAAUUUUAAUUCAACAACCUGGUUAUAAUGAGUUUCUACAAACUGAUCAUCAUUCCCUGAACUUCUGACUCGUACAAGCUUAUUCUGGAACCGGCGAUUGAUUGCAUCUUAAAAGAGGUUAAGAAUGACAUUUUGCAACUUCGCCAGAGUAGCUAUAUAGAAAUGUGUGCUUUUCAUCAGAGUAAAUAAUGAGAACUUGCUGUACCACAACCACAACGGACGUCAAUGCUUAGCACACUCACCUUGCAUCAGAAGACCAUCAAGGAGACGGAUCCGCGUGCAUUAAAAUGGGAAAAUCCCAGGGCGGACCCGUAAGUGCAUGACUUGCUGAUUCUAGGUAUGCAGUUUGACAUGUAGGAAUAGGGGGCUAAGAGUGCGCAGGAUGGUUUUUCAGCUGUUCGCAGCGCGAAACGAUAAAGUGUUAAUGCACAGCUGUUCUGAGUUGGCUUGUUUUAGAACGUGUGUUUGAGGUACAAAGUUCUCUUCGAUUUCCUUUGUUAUAUUUCGAGUGCGUUACCCUCGCUCGUAAAUCUUGAGGGCAGCAAGUUUAGGUUUUGAUAUUUUAUCCUUUCAAUGCCUUUUUGAAAAAUAUAGUAAACCGACAGAUUCUGAUAAUGUAUAGUGGGCUACCUAGGUUUACAAACAUUUAAUAAUUCGUCCUUGUCGCUGUCGAGUGGUUGGCAUUCCUACCUCGUAUUCGUGGCUUCGUUUCACAAUCCAUUACACCAAUUCACUAUUUGUAUUACGAUUCCAAACAACUGAAAACGUCGUUAAAUAAACCAUACAUAAAUACAAAUAUCAGCCUUGACUCCACGCGGCCUGUCACGAUGUUCAGGUAACAACGUGAACCUUUAGAAAUUAGUCUCGUACUAGUGGAGAAUAUUGUAAUUAAGAAAUGUUAAGUAUCUAUGGUUCUCUUUGUUUGAUCUUCACAGAUAAAUGAGUUUUAGUCGCAUUUUAAUCCGAAGUAGAUGUUGGGACCGUGCGUUUAUAAGACUAUUAAAAUUGUAUUUGUCUUGCAUGUUUUUCAAUAAGAUACGUGGCCAGUGGCUAGUCCCCCAGCAAUGAAACUACGAAUAACGCCAAGAGGUCGAUGAAUGUUGUCGCCGCUGGUGUCCAAUCUUAAACCAAAAUAUAAACGAGUCAACAAAUUUUAUAAAAUUCUCGAACAUCAUAUUUCACCGAAUUCUUCCCAACAAAGUACUCAUAUCCGAACGUGUCCUUGAAGUCCACGAGAAUUUCGUAAAUACCUGUGACGGCCAAGAGGCAAAUGACAUGCGCACACGAACACUACUAUUCCUUGAGCGGAAAACGUUGGUCUGUGGUACAAAGAAAUCUUUCACGCGUCUGUUACUGUUCGUAGCGACUUUAUUCAUUUAAAUUGUCGUUAUUAUUUUACAAUAGCACUCGUGUUAUAAAAUAUCUCCUGUAAGUUUACAUCAAAUCAGAGAGAGCACGACGUUUUUCAGACAGGUAAUAAUGCAGCACGUGGCUUCCUAGCCAGCAUUCGUCACUUGCAUUUACUACCGCGGGCUGUAUAUUAUCAUUUCAGACGUCACUCAAAUACACAUACAAGCAUGAAUACAUUCAUUCACACACGUAAUCCACCGACGCAUUUAAUCCCGCAAAAUAAUAAGAACCUGGAUCCUAAAAUGUUAAUAUUUGUCUUCCCCGUGCACUCUGGCAGGAGAAUAGAAAUACAGGACGGAACGCGCCAUCCACUGAACGUCAUUAAAUCAGUGCCAUGUCAUCGCAUCAUCAUCAUCAUCAUCUGUGGCUGUACAACCCAGUGUUGGUCUUGGCUGCCUCUUCUGGAGGUUACUUAAACUAUUUAGACAUUUGUUAGGGGUUCUUGGACGAGGGAUCGGCCCGUAGCAAGGCCUCCUCUACCUGUACACAGAACAGACCAGCACAACACAGAAAGACGCCAAGUCAUGGCAUGCACUCGCAAAUUACAAUCCGUUCUUCGGGCAGACAGUGGAGUCACGCAGUUGGACGACUCAAGUUGGCCAAACGAUUCGCAGCGAGGGGAAGCUGGUCACUUUACUGUCUGGCAUUGAAAAUCUGUGGGGGAAGGCUUUUUCUGCUCCAAGUUGCAUCCCCACCACACCACAGAUUCCCCUCGCAGCAGAUUCGCACAGGCACAUCGCAUGCCUCGUGGCACAUACAGGAACUUCAGUUGCUAAAGCUGAAAGCCCUCCAUGAACUUCGGAAUAAAACAGCAACUUCUCCGCUUUUCAUGCUCUUGGGAAGAAAUUAUAAACGUAUAAAUAAACUUUUUUACACAUGAAGGCGCCAAAUUUUAGUGGGGCCCGGCCAGCCCUUUCUUUGGCAUGGGACGCACCAGUCAACAUCUUAAAAGGAGGGAACAUGUAUUGAACGGGAACCCGGCUUUAUCGGAACAUUUCUCAGCUCCCAAAAUUACAGACUGGUUACCAAUACAUCACUCUUUAAAAUGGACAGAAAACUGGCCUUACUGAAUAAUCGAAGUUUCCCUUCCAGUACUGGAUUUUGCUAACACGAUAAUGAAUCAUCAGAUUCUAAAAGAAGGCUGGCAGUUUCUUAAUUAGCUGAGCGAUUAUGCAGUUCAGAACGUUCCUCUAACAAAUGGGAAAUAAGUAUGGCCGUCCGCCAAAAAUUACGCGCAGAAAGAAUACCAAAAAACGCUACUGGGAAAAUGAAAGAGAAUGUGAAAUUGUCAUCCUGUAGUGCAUAGUAUAUAAGAAUAUUUACUUGUGUUUUAUCACAUAAACAUAAAUUAUGUACUGUGUCCAAUGUUCUUCUAGCGACUGUACACCUGUUAACGAAAACCUGUUCUGGUGCUCGACUAAGCAUCACGCCAUGCAGACGUAGGGGGGAGCGACGUACAGCUCCAAGCAUUCUUAACCUCUGCAAGCCUCACGUCCCAGUCGCGUUAUCUCCUAGGAAGUAAAUAAAAUUAGACAAGUUUUAACAUAGCCAUUUCUGGACAUCAGGGAGGAAAUCCUUAGUGCAGUGACAGAAGUAGGGGACUGAACCUGAUGAUGUCCACAUUGGUUCGAAACAUGUUGCUCAAGUAAGCAGUGUGUGAAAAUGAUGGUCAAAAAAUAAAAAAAUUCAACUAGUCA